CCGACCAUAGCUCAGUUGGAAGAGCACAAGACUGUAAUCGGUUCACUCAUCUUGGGGUCGCCUGUUCGAACCAGGCUGGUCGGA
rnacentral:tRNA from 1 species